rnacentral:misc_RNA from 1 species
AAGUCGUAACAAGGUUUCCGUAGGUGAACCUGCGGAAGGAUCAUUACAGAGUUCUUGCCCUUCGGGGUAGAUCUCCCACCCUUGUGUAUCAUUAUCAAAUGUUGCUUUGGCGGACCGCGAGCCUGGCUCGCCUGGACUCCGGUCCAGCGUGUCCGCCAGAGGAUCCUAAACUCUGAAUGUUAGUGUCGUCUGAGUACUAUUAAAUAGUUAAAA